UACUAUACCUCUGGUAGUUAA
rnacentral:misc_RNA from 1 species